GCUAAACGCGAAGAACCUUACCAAGGCUUGACAUACACGAGAACGCUGCAGAAAUGUAGAACUCUUUGGACACUCGUGAACAGGUGGUGCAUGGUUGUCGUCAGCUCGCGUCGUGAGAUGUUGGGUUAAGUCCCGCAACGAGCGCAACCCUCGUUCUAUGUUGCCAGCACGUAAUGGUGGGAACUCAUGGGAUACUGCCGGGGUCAACUCGGAGGAAGGUGGGGAUGACGUCAAAUCAUCAUGCCCCUUAUGUCUUGGGCUUCACGCAUGCUACAAUGGCCGGUACAAAGGGCUGCAAUACCGUAAGGUGGAGCGAAUCCCAAAAGCCGGUCCCAGUUCGGAUUGAGGUCUGCAACUCGACCUCAUGAAGUCGGAGUCGCUAGUAAUCGCAGAUCAGCAACGCUGCGGUGAAUACGUUCCCGGGUCUUGUACACACCG
rnacentral:rRNA from 1 species